GUUGGUGAACCAGCGGAGGGAUCAUUACCGAGUUUACAACUCCCAAACCCCUGUGAACAUACCAUAUUGUUGCCUCGGCGGUGCCUGUUUCGGCAGCCCGCCAGAGGACCCAAACCCUAGAUUACAUUAAAGCAUUUUCUGAGUCAAUGAUUAAAUCAAUCAAAACUUUCAACAACGGAUCUCUUGGUUCUGGCAUCGAUGAAGAACGCAGCGAAAUGCGAUAAGUAAUGUGAAUUGCAGAAUUCAGUGAAUCAUCGAAUCUUUGAACGCACAUUGCGCCCGCCAGUAUUCUGGCGGGCAUGCCUGUCCGAGCGUCAUUUCAACCCUCAAGCCCCCGGGCUUGGUGUUGGAGAUCGGCGAGCCCCCCGGGGCGCGCCGUCUCCCAAAUAUAGUGGCGGUCCCGCUGUAGCUUCCUCUGCGUAGUAGCACACCUCGCACUGGGAAACAGCGUGGCCACGCCGUAAAACCCCCCACUUCUGAAAGGUUGACCUCGGAUCAGGUAGGAAUACCCGCUGAACUUAAGCAUAUCAAUAAGCGGAGGAAAAGAAAC
rnacentral:rRNA from 1 species